AUGGGCGACCGGGCGUACGGGCCGUCCUCCAAGCCGGUCCCUGUGGCGGCGCCGCGGUCCGCCAACGGCACGGCGAACGGCGGCGGCGUAGGGACACCUCGGCCUCCGUCCAUGGUGCCCGGUCGCGUCCCGCCCCCGCCGAUGUACCGACCGAAGCCGAUGCAACCGCCACCUGGCCGUCGGCGGAGCGGGCGCGGGUGGUGCUGCGCGUGUUGCCUGUGGCUGACGCUGGUGUUGGUGGGGCUGGUGUUCCUUGGAGCAAUAGCGUUGGGGGUGUUCUACGUGAUUUACCACCCGGAGCUUCCGACCUUCGCCGUGACGUCGCUCCGUCUGGCGGCGCUGAACGUCUCCGACUCCGACUCCGUCACCUCCCGCAUCGAGUUCACGGUGACCGCGCGCAACCCCAACGAGAAGAUCGCGUUCGUGUACGGCGACAUCGGGGCUGCCUUCGCGGCCGACGGCACGGACAUCGGGGACGGCACCGUGUCGGGCUUCCUCCACCCCAGCCGCAACACGACGGUCAUCAAGGGGUCGGCUUCGGCGGCGGCCGCGACGGUGGACCCCGUGCAGGCGGCCAGUCUCAGAUCCAAGAAGUCCCAUGCGAUGUCAGUGGAGAUGGACUCCAAGGUGGGUUUCCAGAUCGGGCAGUUCAAGUCGAAGCGCAUCAGCGUCCGUGUGCUGUGCGGUGGCUUCAGCGCGGGGCUGGCCAAGCCGGCGCCCUCCCCGGCGCCGAUCAUCGUGGCCGCGGCGCCUGCGCCGACCCGGUCAAAAAUCAGGCUGUCGUCGUCUUCCACCGGAGGCGGCGGGUCGGCGACGACGGACGCAAAGUGUAAGCUCCGCGUCAAGAUCUGGAUUUGGACGUUUUGA
rnacentral:rRNA from 1 species